UGGAUCUUGUUCAGAGCUACCAGUGUCAGGAAUAUUUCCUUUCACAAAAUAUUCCAGAAUGGUGGCUUAAGUUUUGCCUUUUCUUUGGUCAGAUAAACGUUCAUAUUUCAGUUGAUUCCAAGGGUAGAGCCAGUCUCUUUGGAUUGCAGGUGAAAUGGACAAGCGCAAGAACAGAUGAAAACAAUUACACAAUUGCCCAAAAUCGGUACAAAUUUAUUUUGCCAAGGUAGGAAGUUCCAGGAUUUUGAACUACUGAUGAAAACAGUAUACACUGUAUAUGCCCAAACCAGGAUGGUGUGUGACUGGAGGACAGCCUGGAAUGAUGGUUUUCCAAUAUAUCCUACUGCUUUUCUGUUUCAAGUUGGUGGAGAUCACUUACUUGGAAAAUGCUGCUGAGGAAAUCCUGGGGAUAUGCUCCAACACAUAGAAUCAUGCAGCACAGAAACAGACCCUUCAAUCCAACUCGUCCAUGCCAACUAAGUUUUCCAAA